CUCCGCUCCGCACUGUUUUGUGUGUUUAUUGUUUCACAUAGGUGAUUUAUCGCUGCUUAGGGCCAGCGGCCCAUCGGACAGCCUUGAGAAGACCGCCGCACGCUGUUUGCAGUCCGUCGACCACCUGUCUUCAACGGACGGACGCCCUCGGUCCCACUCAGCUGAACUCAGCUGACUCAGCUGACUGAAGCCUAUCGCGCCGAUAUGCUCGCUCAUCUUCCAUCCUCCCUCGCCCUGCCUGAUGGUUUCGACGACCCGGGCUGUGGUCCCUGAGUUUCGGAACCCGUCUCGCUGGCCUGCCAGCAGGAGGCCUGGCGCUCGUCGCAGACGAGCGCUGCAGUGUGGCCAAAUGCCUUUAAUUUUUUGGCAUUGAUUCGUUGUGUGACGUUGUUUUGUUCGCAUGUGGCCAUGUGGAUAAGGCUACUGGCCAGUGGCCAUAGCCUUAUCCUUCUCGUUAAAUUUGUUAUCUGGAAAUAAAUGUCACCACUCACCAUAAA